GUGUGAGCUGUGAUAGUGAAGGUGAAGGUGUGAGCUGUGAUGGUGAAGGUGUGAGCUGUGAAGGUGAAGGUGUGAGCUGUGAUGGUGAAGGUGUGAGCUGUGAUGGUGAAGGUGUGAGCUGUGAUGGUGAAGGUGUGAGCUGUGAUGGUGAAGAUGUGAGCUGUGAAGGUGAAGGCGUGAGCUGUGAUGGUGAAGGCGUGAGCUGUGAUGGUGAAGGUGUGAGCUGUGAUGGUGAAGGUGUGAGCUGUGAUGGUGAAGGUGUGAGCUGUGAUGGUGAAGGUGUGAGCUGUGAUGGUGAAGGUGUGAGCUGUGAAGGUGAAGGUGUGAGCUGUGAUGGUGCAGGUGUGAGCUGUGAAGGUGCAGGUGUGAGCUGUGAUCGUGUAGGUGUGAGCUGUGAUGGUGAAGGUGUGAGCUGCCAUUGAAGCCUCAGCUUUUAUGGCUGUUAAAGGCUCUUUAAGGAGAACUUUUUUUUUUUUUUUUUUUUUUUUU
rnacentral:lncRNA from 1 species